rnacentral:rRNA from 1 species
GGUUGAUCCUGCCAGUAGUCAUAUGCUUGUCUCAAAGAUUAAGCCAUGCAUGUCUAAGUAUAAGCAAUUAUACAGCGAAACUGCGAAUGGCUCAUUAUAUCAGUUAUAAUUUAUUUGAUAGUACCUUACUACUUGGAUAACCGUGGUAAUUCUAGAGCUAAUACAUGCACAAAAGCCCGACUCUUUGGAGGGCUGUGUUUAUUAGAUAAAAAACCAAUGCCUUCGGGCCCUUGGUGAUUCAUAAUAACCGUCGGAUCGCAUGACCUUGUGUCGGCGACGUAUCAUUCAAAUUU